rnacentral:rRNA from 1 species
AUUGAACGCUGGCGGCAGGCCUAACACAUGCAAGUCGAACGCGAGGCGGACGGGUGAGUGAUGUCUGGGAACCUGCCCGAUGGAGGGCGAUAACAACUGGCAACGGUAGCUAAUACCGCAUACCAUCGGAUGUGCCCAGAUGGGCUUAGCUAUUAGGUGGGGUAACGGCUCACCUAGGCGACGAUCCCUCUCUGGUCUGAGAGGAUGAACAGCCACACUGGAAAGGAGACCCGGUCCAGACUCCUACGGUAGGCAGCAGUGGGGAAUAUGGCACAAAGGGCGGAAGCCUGAGGCAGCCAUGCCGGGGGUAAGAAGACGGCGUGCGGGUUGAAAAGUAAUUUCAGAUAGGAGGCGUUACUCGCAGAAGAGGCACCGGCUAACUACGUGCCAGCAGCCGCGGUAAUUC